CGGAGCUCGCUAAACCGAACAGUGCUGUAAUAAGUAAUAUGCAUGGGAGUAUUGAAGACGCCAUUGUUUUUCACUUGAGACGAAAAGAAAGGAAAGAGAUGAAGAUGAAGAUGAAGAUGAAACGACUGUUGGAGAGGCUUUUAAUGAAGGUAGUCAAUGAAAUCGUACCGCCCUCCUUUUUUUCUCUGUUUCCAAAUUAAAUACAUAUCCGAAAAAUUUAAUUCAACUCGGUAAAUUUUAAAAUUAUAUAUAUCUUUUCAUUCGAUGGGUAAUUUAAUAUAUAAUUUUUGAUUUGAUGUAUUUAUAUAUAUAAAAUUUUGAUUGUGGUUUAAAUUAUACUUAAAAUUUAAAUUUUGAUUUUGUUGAGUUGGAAUCCCAUUCUAACUAAAGAUUCUUGUGGUUUUAGGAAUUUUACUACAGGAGAACCAGGAACGGCGGAGAGCUUUUCCCCAUUCGACUAUUUGGUCUUAAGAAUGUUGGUUUAAAGAAUGAGUGAUUGUCUUUUUCCAACCCUUACCACCCAACCUGAGAGCGGAUAGCUAAUGCAUUCCGCUUAUUGAAUAUGGUUUUAUGGUCGAUUCGUGACCCCUGAACACUGAAGGCAUACAUGGGGUGAUUUCGUAGUUCCUACAAGUGGAAACGAUGGGGUUGGUCCAUGAAUUUUCUUUCCUUUUGUCGCAUUUCGCUCAAAUGGUUGAAGGGAGACAGUGUAUCGAGCUGUUCACAAGGGUCAACUUGAUCCUCUUCCCAAAGGAUCCCAGAUGUGGGAACCUAGGAAAGUCGUCGACUCCAACUACCAUUUAUGUACCAUCCUACCUUUUUCUAAGUUAUUGACAGCCUAUCUUUAUCUUAGUAGAGUCUUUUAGUGGCAUGUUUUGGUAAAUUUUAAUUUGGGAUUACCCGAGUAGAAUAUAGGCCUAGGGUUGAAAAACUUUUUGGAACCCCGUGGAUAGGUCUAAGUAAAUAACACUCUUAAAAUUUUUAAAAUUUUGUAUAUUUUCAUUUAUUUUUAAAUUGUUUAUGUCCUUUUAAAGGGUAAUAACCAAAUUGACACAAAACUAUAAACAAUAUAAGCUAAAAGAGUUAC
rnacentral:lncRNA from 1 species